GGCUGCAAAAUUAAUUAUUGUACAAAGGUAGCAUAAUAAUUUGUUUUUUAAUUAAAAACUAGAAUGAAUGAUUAAUUGAAAUAUAAACUUUCUCAAUUAUAUAAAAAUUUAAAUUUUUAUUUAAGUAAAAAAACUUAAAUAAAUAUAAAAGACGACAAGACCCUAUAGAAUUUUAUUUAUUAAAAUAUAAUUUUAUUAAAUUUAUAUAUAAAUAUAAAUAUUUUAAUAAAUUUAAUUGGGGUAAUUUAAAAAUUUAAUAAAUUUUUUAUUAUUAAUACAUUAAUUUAUGAAUAAUAAUUUCUUAAUUCUAAAAUUUAAAAUUAAUUACCUUAGGGAUAACAGCAUAAUUUUUUUUAAAAGACCUAAUUAAUAAAAAAGAUUAU
rnacentral:rRNA from 1 species